GCCCAGGUGGUGAAAUUGGUAGACACAAGGGACUUAAAAUCCCUCAGUUUUUAAAGACUAUGCGGGUUCAAGUCCCGCUCUGGGCACCA
rnacentral:tRNA from 1 species